rnacentral:rRNA from 1 species
UACGAAGGAUGCGAGCGUUAUCCGGAUUUAUUGGGUUUAAAGGGUGCGUAGGCGGGCUUUUAAGUCAGCGGUAGAAAUUCGGGGCUCAACCCCGUCCGGCCGUUGAAACUGGGGGUCUUGAGUGGGCGAGAAGAAGGCGGAAUGCGUGGUGUAGCGGUGAAAUGCAUAGAUAUCACGCAGAACCCCGAUUGCGAAGGCAGCCUUCCGGCGCCCUACUGACGCUGAGGCACGAAAGUGCGGGGAUCGAACAGG